GAUGAAGAACGUAGUGAAAUGCGAUAAGUAGUGUGAAUUGCAGAAAUCAGUGAAUCAUCGAAUCUUUGAACGCACAUUGCGCCCUUUGGUAUUCCAAAGGGCAUGCCUGUUCGAGCGUCAUUUGUACCCUCAAGCUUUGCUUGGUGUUGGGCGUCUUGUCUCUAGCUUUGCUGGAGACUCGCCUUAAAGUAAUUGGCAGCCGGCCUACUGGUUUCGGAGCGCAGCACAAGUCGCACUCUCUAUCAGCAAAGGUCUAGCAUCCAUUAAGCCUUUUUUUCAACUUUUGACCUCGGAUCAGGUAGGGAUACCCGCUGAACUUAAGCAUAUCAAUAAGCGGAGGA
rnacentral:misc_RNA from 1 species